rnacentral:rRNA from 1 species
AUGCUUGUCGGUGAGAACCGGGCCGCGGUGGGUAGAGGCGUGAAGCGGGCCACGUGCCGGGUUGUUCAAAGGCUUUCAAGCACGGCAUUGAAGGAAACCCUAAAGUCCAUAUGGAACCUAGCUCAUGUUCCUGACAUUAGGGAAGCCGAUGACAAUGUUUUUGUCAUACAAGUCUUUUGCCUGGGGGAUUGGAAGAGAGUAAUGUUCCAAGGUCCAUGGAUCUUCCGUGGACUGAUGGUACUCAUUGAGGAAUUUGAUGGAAAGUGUGCUCCAGAAUCUGUCAAGCUCGAGAGGAUAUCAGUGUGGGCGCAGAUCCACAAGAUCCCAGAUUUGUACCGGAAGGAACCUAUUGUAGAUCAGCUGGCAAGGAGAAUUGGCAUUGUUAGAAGUGUAGAGCUAAAUCCAACACGUUAUUUCGAGGGAAAU